CAGUUAAAAAGCUCGUAGUUGGAUUUCGGAGUGGGCCGGUUGGUCCGCCGCAAGGUGUGUUACUGACUGGUUUGCUCUUCUUCGCAAAGACUGCGUGUGCUCUUGAGUGAGUGUGCGUAGGAUUUACGACGUUUACUUUGAAAAAAUUAGAGUGUUCAAAGCAGGCUAUUGCUUGAAUACAUGAGCAUGGAAUAAUGGAAUAGGACUUUGGUCCCAUUUUGUUGGUUUCUAGGGCCGAAGUAAUGAUUAAGAGGGACAAUUGGGGGCAUCCGUAUUUCGUUGUCAGAGGUGAAAUUCUUGGAUUUACGAAAGACGAACAACUGCGAAAGCACUUGCCAAGAGUGUUUUCAUUAAUCAAGAACGAAAGUUAGAGGAUCGAAGACGAUCAGAUACCGUCCUAGUUCUAACCAUAAACGAUGUCGACUAGGGAUCAGCGGGCGUUAUCGUACGACCCCGUUGGCACCUUACGGGAAACCAAAGUUUUUGGAUUCCGGGGGAAGUA
rnacentral:rRNA from 1 species